UCGUAUGGUUCGUGGGAUGGACAUCGCCUAGUUUCUCCCAUUUGUCCUUGCGCUGCUGAAAUUCUCUUUGUGCGUGUUCAUCGGAAAACACGAUCCAUUCGUUCAUUGUUAGGUUCUUGUGUUUUCCCCCGUUUCACUCUACGGUAAAUUGUGCGGCAAAACUCCGAACCGUGUGUCACUGGUUUAGUUUUCUAUGGAAAAUGGAACGGGGGCGAGGCCAGCCCCAUUGAAGGAAAAAUUGGGCGGCUACCUUGUCAAGGGGAGGGUGGAUCAUCCCCAGUGAAAAUUGCAUUUGUGGCACCUCUGCCAGUUACGGGAUCAGUGGAUUAGUGGUGAAUGUGAUAAGAUUCGACCUUCUUCAAAUACCCCUUCUCCUCUCGCAAGAGAUUUUUAGGUUGUAUUUCUUCUCUAUUGUGGAUGAACUAGAGUUAUAUAGUUGCAUUUCCUUCCCAUUCCACUACAAUUCUGAGUAGGCUAUCGCAACUGUAACUAUGAAUUUGGGCUUUCAGCUUUGUUAUUUCGUUCCAGCUAUUGCAACCAGAAAAUGUUACUCGGCGGAGGUUUCUUAAGGUGGUUGUUUAGCUGUGGGAGUAGCACAUUUCCCAUUUUGCCAGUUUCUUUUUUUUAGGGAAAGCCUUCAUGGCGCUCCCAUUUCUCCAGUUAAAAGGGCUGAAAUCUCUUGUGGGCUGCUUUCUCUUUUUAGUGUAUCUUUGUUUUGCUUAUAUAUAUAGGAUUCGUAUGUAUGCAUGGUAUGUAUGUACCUUUUCAUCUUAAUCUCCAUGUACUUUUUCUAAUGCACAAUAAAGUCUGCUGGUUUAGGCCAACUGAUUUUGUCCGCUUUUUGUCCGUUUGGCUCGGCUAGGCAGACACCAAUGUCUGUUUUUGUGCGCUGGCCUGUAGGUGCGCCCAACGCGGACGGACGCAUUUCACAUUUGCAUUCGCUUAAGGACAGAUUUUGAAUAUAUUUUUAAAAAAUAAAAGGCAGCAAGUCCAGUUUUCAUUAAUUAAAACUAAAAAUAUUAAAUAAAAACAGCUAGUGGUGGGCGGUAGAUCUAGGUGGCAUCGGCGUCGUCCUCCUUGGUCAUGGUCAAGUCGACGUAGACUGGAGCCUCCAUCCACGGGAACGCCUGCUGGAAGGCUGCCAGCACUGUCGCCUGCUGCUGCUCCGCCUGCCGCUCAGCUUCCAUCUCACACUCAGCCGCAUGCCGCUCGGCCUUCGCCAGGUACUGCUUGGCCUCCUUGUCGUCGUGCCCACCCACACGGCCGGGCACGAGACGUACACCGGCACCAUGCUCGGCCACAACCACGUUUGCGUAGGCUCAGGCGUGGGCGGUGCUGGCGGCCGUGGGGGCGCGUUCGCUUGCAUUCCGGCCGCCAAAUCGGCCAGCGCCUUCUCAAGGCCAGGCCACCUGGCGAGCUCGUUGAGCUCGGACUCCUUGAUGGCCCUCUUCUUCGCCUCCUCGAGGGCUCACAUGUAGGCCUUCUCCUCCUCCUCCUGAUCCUCCUUCACCACCACCGGCAGCGGUGGUGAAGCGGGUGCAUGGGGCGCAUGAUCGAAGGACAACCGACGUUGCUCCUCGUGCUCGGUGGCGAACCAUGCGUCUUAGUUUGGCGAAUCCACUGCGUAUGCUGGGUCGCGGCAGAGGUCGGCCAGGAGUUGAGCACGGCGGCGUGUGGUCUGAGGUCGGCAUCGCCGGCGUCGGAACCCUAUCGGGAUUGAGGUGCCACUUGUGCAGCAGGUUCACGUCGGGCCACGGCACCGACACACGAUGCUCCCAGAAGUACUGGCAGCGGUGCACCGACAUGUAUAGGUGAAAGCAUGGCCAUGGUUCAGCACCUGGCAGCGCCAUGCUGAAGUUGGCCGGGCUGCGUCACCCCGACGAGUUGCCGGUCUCGUGAUCAUUCUUCCCGAACCCCAUGGUGGCGGCGACUAGGCGGGGUUGUCAGGCGGAUGGGGGGCAACAAGAAGAAGAGGAUUAGGGAGGAAAGCAUUAAAAAGGACGGGUGUGGACUGGUUUUGUUGGCUGACGUGCGGGCCCAAGCGCACACGUGGAAUUUAAUAGGACCGGUGGGUGGUGGUUGGGCGGCCAACGUGCGGGCCUGAGGCAGACACCGACCGGACGCGCGGCACGUUUCUCUUGUGUCCGUGUGGACGCAAAUUGGGCCCAAAUUUGGGGCGAAAGUCUGUCUGAGACGGGUUUGCGUCGGCGCGUUGGGCCGUGGUUUUUGGUCUCGUGGCCCCAAAUGGACCAAAGCGGAUGAAAUGGGUUGCCGUGUUGGAGUUGGCCUUAAACACCCUUGAUGAAUGGGUUGGAGUUUACUUUUGGGUUCAUAUUUACUGGCUGUAUUUUGUGGAAAGAGGCUAGCUGAUAAGUUGAAUACCUUAAUUGUUCAAAUCAUGUCAAAUUCUGGUACUUACUAAGUCACGGCUGCACUAACUGUACAUACCUUAGUAACAAACAGCACAACAUUUUAUUGGCGGCAUUGAAAGCGGAUGGGGAAUUACUUUACUCUUUUGUUAGGUUCAACCUACAUUACGUUCAGGUUUCCAUAUGAGUUGCACCUGCACUAUGUAUUCUCAUUCCUGUCUUUGAUGAAAAGUUAGCUCAAUACAAACUAUUAUACAACGGCACCUCGCAGAUCCCAAUCCAGCCUCCGCCGCCGCCGCCGCGGGAUCAUCCCUCGGCCUCGGUCUCCUCCUGAGCCAGCCGUGGUCGGGGCCGCGCUGGUCGCGCCCCGGCUUCCUCCUCCCCUUGCCAGAUCCAUUCGGGUAAUACUCCUCUCUUUCUCCCUCUUGGCUUCCCUAGGCCAGAUCGUUUUCGCGCCCCCUAAUCCACGCCGUGGGGAAUUGAGCCGAACCCGUCGUGAGAUUCCGCGUCACACUGUUGCUGGAUUAGCCGUGAAUUGCUGGUUGGUGCUGACGGAUUGUGCUCCUCAGGAGUACGGAAAUCAUGGAAUCGUUCGAGAUUCAUGCUCCUGUCCGUCGGUUCGCGUGUCGGUUAGGUGCUCGUACGGUUUGUGAGAAGGACAUUGCCUAGUUUCUCUCAUUUAUCGCGGCACUGCUGGAAUUUUUUUGUGCAUGUUCGUCGGAAAGCGAAGGGGAGCCUUGGCGCAGUGGUAAAGCUGCUGCCUUGUGACCAUGAGGUCAUGGGUUCAAGUCCUGGAAACAGCCUCUUACAGAAAUGUAGGGAAAGGCUGUGUACUAUAGACCCAAAGUGGUCGGACCCUUCCCUGGACCCUGCGCAAGCGGGAGCUACAUGCACCAGGUUGCCCUUUUUUUUCGUCGGAAAGCACGAUUUAUUCGUUCAUUGUUAGGUUCUUGUGUUUUUUCCCCGUUCCACUCUACGGUAAAUUGUGCGGCAAAACUCUGAACCUGUGUCACUGGUUUCGUCUUCUAUGGAAAAUGGAACCGGAGCGGGGCCGGCCCCUGUUGAUUGAAGAAAAUAAAUUAGGCGGCUACCUUGUCCAGGGAGGGAAUGUUAAACAGGUGUAUACACGGUGUUGUGGAUCAUUCCCAGUGAAAAUUGCAUUUGUGGCGCCUGUACCAGUUACAGGAUCAGUGGAUUAGUGGUGAAUGUGAUAGAUUUGGCCUUCUUCAAAUACCCCUUCUCCUCUGAAGAGAUUUUUAGGUUGUAUUUCUUCUCUGUUGGGGAUGAAAUAGAAUUUUAUAGUUAUAUUUCCUUCCUAUUCGGUAGUCACUACAUUUCUGAGUAGGCUAUUGCAACUGUUACCAUAAAUUUGUGCUUUCGGCUUUAUUAUUUAAUUCCAUUGUAUUUGUUUCCUAUUCGGUAGUCACUACAUUUCUGAGUAGGCUAUCGCAACUGUUACCAUAAAAUUGUGCUUUCAGCUUUUUAUUUAAUUCCAGCUAUUGCAACCGUAAAAUGUUACUCGGUGGACGUUCUUAAGGUGGUUGUUUAGCUGCAGGAGUAGCACAUUUCCCAUUUCCCCAGUUAAAAGUGCUGAAAUCUCUUGUGGGCUCUUUGUAAAUCUAUCUUUGUUACUCAGCUUUCAUAAGCACACAUGGUAUGCAUGUACCAUUCUUCUUAAUCUGCGUGUACUUGUUCUAAUGCACAAUAAAGUCUGCUGGUUUAAACUCAUUUGAUGAAUGGGUUGGAAUUUACUUUUGUGGAAACAGGCUAGCUGAUAAGCUGAAUACCUUAAUUGUUUAUAUCAUGUUAAGCUCAGGUACUUACUAAGUUCAUAUUUACUGGCU
rnacentral:lncRNA from 1 species